rnacentral:rRNA from 1 species
UACGUAGGGUGCGAGCGUUAAUCGGAAUUACUGGGCGUAAAGCGUGCGCAGGCGGUUUGUUAAGACAGGUGUGAAAUCCCCGGGCUCAACCUGGGAAUGGCAAUGGAAACUGGCGGGCUAGAGUGUGGCAGAGGGGGGUGGAAUUCCGCGUGUAGCAGUGAAAUGCGUAGAGAUGCGGAGGAACACCGAUGGCGAAGGCAGCCCCCUGGGCUAGCACUGACGCUCAGGCACGAAAGCGUGGGGAGCAAACAGG